UGAAGCAUAGUAACAGGUCAGGUGGUGACGUGUGUCAGCCCGCGCGCGCGUAGUCUAUGUCGUGUUGAAACGUGUGUGUGUGUGUGUGACGCCCAUAACACCCUGGGAUAAAGUCACCCCUGGGAUAGUAGCGACCCCAAGGUAGCCCCAGCCUGGGAUAGACCCACAGUGGGGCUAAGUGCUGGGGGCUAGUGCUUGUGUCCGUGGAGCAGGGAGGGGGGUCUACCUCCCACCACCACCACCACCACCAUGGCGUUCGCUGGCCUCAAGAAGCAGUUUAACAAAGCCAAUCAGUUUAUGAAUGAAAAGAUUGCGGAGUUGAAGGAACCAAACUAGAUGAAGACUUUUCGAAAUGGAAAGG
rnacentral:lncRNA from 1 species